rnacentral:lncRNA from 1 species
GACCCACGCGGGUGUGACAGGAGCCCUCGGGCAGUGGCCGAAGUGAGCUCCGAGCCUGCAUCCUCGCGCCUGGCACCUGCCCCGGGAAGCCRGGUUCCUCCGUCUGCAGCGCACUGCUGGGAUGCGGCGUGACUCCGGGCUCGGGCACCACAGGCUUCCUGGUCCUCUCCUAACGGCUCCACGCGUCCCUGCCGUGCCCGGCGUGGGCUCCUGGCUGCCUGCAGGGGCUGUGGUCUGGCCUGUCCAGCCUAAGCUCAGGGUGCUGAGCAGAGCCCGGGCUAAUAGCCAAGCCCGUGGCCGACAGGAGGGGGGAAGAGCCGGGACAAGCGCUGGCGGCGGCAUUGCUGCGGGUGAGCGGGGAACGCGCGCGUUGCGGGAGGAAUCAGCGGGACCCGUUUGCAAACUUGUUUUCGAGCCCUCGCCGGGGAGGGGAGCCGGGCACGAGCACUGAGAUGCCAUUAUGUAAGGAGCGCCGCAGCGGGAGCCGGCAGCUGGGCCGCUCGGCCCUGCCUGACCCGUGACCGCAGGGAGAGUCGGGGACGGAGCCUCCUGCCCCCUCCUCUCCCGCGGGGGCAGCAAACAGCCCUGCCAGUGUGGCUGCUGCUCGCCAGCCCUCGCCGGGAAAUAAAGGAGAGCAGCGUUCGCA